rnacentral:rRNA from 1 species
UACAGAGGAUGCAAGCGUUAUCCGGAAUGAUUGGGCGUAAAGCGUCUGUAGGUGGCUUUUUAAGUCCGCCGUCAAAUCCCAGGGCUCAACUCUGGACAGGCGGUGGAAACUACCAAGCUGGAGUACGGUAGGGGCAGAGGGAAUUUCCAGUGGAGCGGUGAAAUGCGUAGAUAUUGGAAAGACCACCAAUGGCGAAGGCACUCUACUGGGCCAUUACUGACACUGAGAGACGAAAGCUAGGGGAGCAAACAGG